rnacentral:rRNA from 1 species
UACGUAGGGGGCAAGCGUUGUCCGGAAUCAUUGGGCGUAAAGCGCGUGUAGGCGGCCCGGUAAGUCCGCUGUGAAAGUCCAGGGCUCAACCCUGGGAUGCCGGUGGAUACUGUCGGGCUCGAGUCCGGAAGAGGAGUGUGGAAUUCCUGGUGUAGCGGUGAAAUGCGCAGAUAUCAGGAGGAACACCGAUGGCGAAGGCAGCCCCCUGGGCUGACACUGACGCUCAGGCACGAAAGCGUGGGGAGCAAACAGG